CAAAUUUGUUCAGAGAACAUCUCAUCCAAUAGAAUAUAAGACUUGCUAGAACCGGUGAGGUAAGGGCCGGGCGCCGACUGCCGGCCGUUGGUCUUGCUCUACUAUAAUUCACCGUCAAAGUGUCGACCACGUCAAAGCUCGUGUUGAUCCAACUUUUCUUCCUUUCUAAAACCUAUCUCUCUCUCUCUCUCUCUCUUUCUCUCUCCUCUGAACCAUUUAGCCUGUAGAUAUUCACCGCUCGAUUCGUGCCAAGUUCGAUCAGCCCCCUGUUUCAGCCUUUUCCUUUGUUGGCUUGCUCGAAUUUGGGGGGUUCGAGAAGGAAUUGAUCAAAUUGGCGCAUAAAAAUGUCGAGUUUGUAUGGGGGGGAUUUCAAUCAGAAGAUCGAUUACGUAUUCAAAAUCGUGUUGAUCGGGGAUUCGGCGGUCGGAAAAUCUCAGAUGCUGGCUCGCUUCGCCAGAAACGAGUUCAGUUUGGACUCGAAGGCAACGAUUGGGGUUGAGUUUCAGACGAGGACGCUAGUCAUCGACCACAAGACCGUCAAGGCACAAAUUUGGGACACUGCUGGGCAGGAAAGAUAUCGGGCAGUGACAAGUGCAUACUAUAGAGGUGCUGUGGGAGCAAUGCUUGUGUAUGACAUAACCAAGCGCCAAUCAUUUGAUCAUGUGGCGAGGUGGUUAGAGGAAUUGCGGGGCCAUGCUGACAAGAACAUUGUGAUCAUGCUCGUAGGAAACAAGUCUGACCUGGGGACCCUUCGAGCUGUGCCCACUGAGGAUGCUAAAGAAUUUGCUCAAGGGGAGAAUCUCUUCUUUAUUGAGACAUCUGCUCUUGAGGCUACGAAUAUUGAAACAGCUUUCUUGACUGUGUUGACGGAGAUCUACCGAAUUGUCAGCAAGAAAGCUCUCGUUGCAAACGAUGAAACGGAGACUGCGGGCGGUUCAGCACUUCUGAAGGGCACUAAGAUUGUUGUUCCAGGACAGGAACCAGAGCCUAAAGGCCAAAAGUAUUAUUGUUGCUCAUCCUCGUAGUGCUAUUUUCCUUUCAGCCAGUGUCGUGUGGAUUUUGCUGUUUAUAUCUUCAGGAGAAUCGUGGAAUGACACCUUGAUUUUGGUAUGAUAGGCUUUUGGGACACCACCGGUUCAAGUCCGAAACCCAAGUCACCUUCCUGCACGACCCGCUGCCCACACCCAUCGGGAAUAUGGACACCGGCACGUUGUAGCCGUCAACCAGGCUUACGUCGUAACAGUCACGAGGGCUCUCCAGAGUGAACUCCGCCAGGCUCGCAGGCGGCACCCCAACCCGCUCCAUCGCAUUCGAGGUUCCCAGCGCAGUCCGGUGGCGCAACCUCCCUCGCCGGAGGAAUCGAAGGAGCAGCCGUUGCGAGACCAAAUGCGACCGGACCAGGGGAAAGGUACUGGGACGGUGCUACUGUGACCGAGGUCUAACCCUGAGGCCACCGUUCAUCAGCGGAGGUAGGAUCGCUGGCCAUACUGUGCUGUUGCAGUUGUUCUUCAACGUGAAAAAUACCCCAUUGGCAGUACCUGAAACAAAACAAUUAAGCUAGCUAGCGGUGAAAUGAAAUCUCAUGUAUGCAUAAAUGCAGGAGUAAUAUUUAUCAGAAAUUAAAAUUAAAAUUAAGAGCUACUGUAGUAUGUACGUAGUACACCUAAGAAGAAGAAAAGCAUGAGAAGAUGAAGGUGCAAUAUUAUACAGGCAGCCAUCAUGAGAGACGUAAUUGAAGGUGGAUGGGAGAGUCGUUGGCCGAGAGGACCUAUAUAAAAAGUGGCUCUCUGCUUCAACCAUCAUUCAUCAAUGAAACCAAUAGAAGAAUAUAAAAUCUUACGGCUCUGAUGUAUAUCUUUGACUCCGCGUGUAGUUAGUAAUUAAAUAUAUAAAAAAAAGGGCUUCCUAGCUAA